CUAACAAACGUGCAGGUCAUGUGUCUGACAGGCAACCGGCUUAAUGGAAAUAUUCCAGAUGGAAUCAAGGGAAGGCAGAGCCGCACGAACUUGUUCAGAAGCUUUUCUGAGGAGGGGAACUUAGAACUUGGUGGGUGCCUGGAAAACUGUCCUUGUCAAAAAAGUGAGUACAUAAAAUGUGAGGUGAAUUUCUUAAUUAUUUUAUCCUAGAUGAUUGGGACUUAUCUUUGGUAUUGAAAUGAAAUUAUAUCAUCUCAUCAAGGACAUAAAAUUUAGUUUUAUUUAUUUAUAUAUUUAUAUAUUUAUUUAUGUUUAAUAUAACUGAUCACCGUCUAUAACUUUUCUGUAUUCUUAAGAUCGUUAUUCAUUGCAUAUAAAUUGUGGUGGAAAGAAAUCUACUGUUGGAAAUGUUGUUUAUGAAGGGGGAUCAAUAUGAAGGAGGUGCAGCAAAAUUUCAUCCUGACUGAUGAUUGGGGAUUUAGUAGCACUGGACACUUCUGGGAUCAUAACAGAACCAUAAAUGAUUACAUAGCACAAAAUGUAUCCGUACUUGGAAUGAACCACUCUGGAUUGUACACCAAAGCACGACUUUCUCCUCUAUCUUUUACUUACUAUGGGCGCUGCUUAGCAGAUGGGAACUAUACAGUAAAAAUUCACUUUGCAGAGAUAAUUAUCAGAGGCAAUAAAUCCUUUCAUAGCCUUGGCAGACAGAUUUUUAAUGUUUAUAUUCAGGUACUCAUAAUAGGAAAAAUUAGAUUGGUGCUUGGUUUGUUAUAGAAGGUUAGUUGAUUUAAUUAGUUAAUUGCAGGGAAAGUUGGAAUCGGAGGAUUUUGAUAUUGUACCAGCAGCACAAGGGGUUGAAAAGGUAGUUGUAAAAGAAUUUAAAGCAGUUGUGAAGAAUAAAACUUUAGAGGUCCGCUUUCAUUGGGCUGGCAAGGGGACAACAGCUAUACCAAGCAGAGGAACUUAUGGUCCUCUCAUAUCAGCUAUUUCUAUGGAAUCUGGUUUUAAUGCAUGACUUCAUUAUAAGAUAUAAUGUCAUGGCACCUAUGCUUGGACUAGUCUCUUAUUUACCCAUAUUGGAGACAUACUUCAUUAAUAACCUAGCAAGUGUAAGGAGUUUGCAACUGGAACUCAAGUCUUGCAUUGAGGAGUUUGAGAAGCUUGACAAAUUCCAUAUGGAACAAAUGGAAGAAGAGGUUACCGCAAGAAAUGCCCACAUACAUCAACAGAAAGUUGGUAGUUUGGAAUGUUUUAUGGUAGCUAAGAGCAGUGCAGAAGAAUUUUCAAAAACUGAUAUUGUUGAAGGAAACAUAAUGGUAUGCUGCUGCUGAUAAUGUUAUUGUUGCUAUUUAUGCUACUCAUCCAACUCCUAUGGAGAAAUAUGGAAGUUGUGGUUGAAAAGGUUUUAAUGCAUGACUUCAUUAUAAGAUAUAAUGUCAUGGCACCUACGCUUGGACUAGUCUCUUAUUUACCCAUAUUGGAGACAUACUUCAUUAAUAACCUAGCAAGGUAUUAAGUUGUUCUUGCAUUACCUCAUUUGCAAUUUAUUUUUUUAAUAAUUGGUGUAUUUUUUUCACGCUAACGAAAACCAGAGUAAGGAGUUUGCAACUGGAACUCAAGUCUCGCAUUGAGGAGUUUGAGAAGCUUGACAAAUUCCAUAUGGAACAAAUAGAAGAAGAGGUUACUGCAAGAAAUGCCCACAUACAUCAACAAAAAGUUGGUAGCUUGGAAUGUUUUAUGGUAGCUAAGAGCAGUGCAGAAGAAUUUUCAAAAACUGAUAUUGUUGAAGCAUGGACACAUUGAAGAGUCAUCUUCCUAUUUCUGGACCAGAGGGACUUCAUGAGCUAAGGAAAAUUGUUGAAAGGUUUGAGGAAAAGAUUUAUUCUACUGCCACAAGCCAGGUAUAUCCAUCAUGCUAGUAUUUACUCAACCAUUCCUCAAGACCUAUGAACAUUUUUUGUAUCUAUCCUUAGUGUAAAAGAUUAAAGUGCAAAACUUGAUAUUAUCUUAUCUUACUUUGUCUUUAAUAA